GGGUUGUGAGGUUAAGCGAACAAGCGUACACGGUGGAUGCCCUGGCAGUCAGAGGCGAUGAAGGACGUGCUAAUCUGCGAAAAGCGCCGGUAAGGUGAUAUGAACCGUUAUAACCGGCGAUGUCCGAAUGGGGAAACCCGGUGCACUUCGGUGCAUCAUCGUUAGCUGAAUACAUAGGCUAACGAGGCGAACCGGGGGAACUGAAACAUCUAAGUACCCCGAGGAAAAGAAAUCAACCGAGAUUCCCCCAGUAGCGGCGAGCGAACGGGGAACAGCCCAGAGCCUGAAUCAGCUUGUGUGUCAGUGGAACGGUCUGGAAAGGCCGGCGAUACAGGGUGACAGCCCCGUACACGAAGGCACACAGGCUGUGAGCUCGAUGAGUAGGGCGGGACACGUGAUAUCCUGUCUGAAGAUGGGGGGACCAUCCUCCAAGGCUAAAUACUCCUGACUGACCGAUAGUGAACCAGUACCGUGAGGGAAAGGCGAAAAGAACCCCGGCGAGGGGAGUGAAACAGAACCUGAAACCGUGUACGUACAAGCAGUGGGAGCCUUCGUAAGAGGGUGACUGCGUACCUUUUGUAUAAUGGGUCAGCGACUUAUAUUCUGUAGCAAGGUUAACCGUAUAGGGGAGCCGAAGGGAAACCGAGUCUUAACCGGGCGUUAAGUUGCAGGGUAUAGACCCGAAACCCGGUGAUCUAGCCAUGGGCAGGUUGAAGGUUGGGUAACACUAACUGGAGGACCGAACCGACUAAUGUUGAAAAAUUAGCGGAUGACCUGUGGCUGGGGGUGAAAGGCCAAUCAAACCGGGAGAUAGCUGGUUCUCCCCGAAAGCUAUUUAGGUAGCGCCUCGUGAACUCAUCUCCGGGGGUAGAGCACUGUUUCGGCUAGGGGGCCAUCCCGGCUUACCAACCCGAUGCAAACUGCGAAUACCGGAGAAUGUUAUCACGGGAGACACACGGCGGGUGCUAACGUCCGUCGUGAAGAGGGAAACAACCCAGACCGCCAGCUAAGGUCCCAAAGUCAUGGUUAAGUGGGAAACGAUGUGGGAAGGCCCAGACAGCCAGGAUGUUGGCUUAGAAGCAGCCAUCAUUUAAAGAAAGCGUAAUAGCUCACUGGUCGAGUCGGCCUGCGCGGAAGAUGUAACGGGGCUAAACCAUGCACCGAAGCUGCGGCAGCGACACGUAUGUGUUGUUGGGUAGGGGAGCGUUCUGUAAGCCUGUGAAGGUGUGCUGUGAGGCAUGCUGGAGGUAUCAGAAGUGCGAAUGCUGACAUAAGUAACGAUAAAGCGGGUGAAAAGCCCGCUCGCCGGAAGACCAAGGGUUCCUGUCCAACGUUAAUCGGGGCAGGGUGAGUCGACCCCUAAGGCGAGGCCGAAAGGCGUAGUCGAUGGGAAACAGGUUAAUAUUCCUGUACUUGGUGUUACUGCGAAGGGGGGACGGAGAAGGCUAUGUCGGCCGGGCGACGGUUGUCCCGGUUUAAGCGUGUAGGCUGACUUUCCAGGCAAAUCCGGAAGGUUAAGGCUGAGGCGUGAUGACGAGGCACCACGGUGCUGAAGUGACAAAUGCCCUGCUUCCAGGAAAAGCCUCUAAGCAUCAGGUAACAUCAAAUCGUACCCCAAACCGACACAGGUGGUCAGGUAGAGAAUACCAAGGCGCUUGAGAGAACUCGGGUGAAGGAACUAGGCAAAAUGGUGCCGUAACUUCGGGAGAAGGCACGCUGACAUGUAGGUGAAGCCCCUGCGGGUGGAGCUGAAGUCAGUCGAAGAUACCAGCUGGCUGCAACUGUUUAUUAAAAACACAGCACUGUGCAAACACGAAAGUGGACGUAUACGGUGUGACGCCUGCCCGGUGCCGGAAGGUUAAUUGAUGGGGUUAUCGCAAGAGAAGCUCCUGAUCGAAGCCCCGGUAAACGGCGGCCGUAACUAUAACGGUCCUAAGGUAGCGAAAUUCCUUGUCGGGUAAGUUCCGACCUGCACGAAUGGCGUAAUGAUGGCCAGGCUGUCUCCACCCGAGACUCAGUGAAAUUGAACUCGCUGUGAAGAUGCAGUGUACCCGCGGCAAGACGGAAAGACCCCGUGAACCUUUACUACAGCUUGACACUGAACAUUGAGCCUUGAUGUGUAGGAUAGGUGGGAGGCUUUGAAGCGUGGACGCCAGUCUGCGUGGAGCCGACCUUGAAAUACCACCCUUUAAUGUUUGAUGUUCUAACCUGGCGCCGUGAUCCGGCGUGGGGACAGUGUCUGGUGGGUAGUUUGACUGGGGCGGUCUCCUCCCAAAGUGUAACGGAGGAGCACGAAGGUCAGCUAAUCCUGGUCGGACAUCAGGAGGUUAGUGCAAUGGCAUAAGCUGGCUUGACUGCGAGAGUGACGGCUCGAGCAGGUGCGAAAGCAGGUCAUAGUGAUCCGGUGGUUCUGUAUGGAAGGGCCAUCGCUCAACGGAUAAAAGGUACUCCGGGGAUAACAGGCUGAUACCGCCCAAGAGUUCAUAUCGACGGCGGUGUUUGGCACCUCGAUGUCGGCUCAUCACAUCCUGGGGCUGAAGUAGGUCCCAAGGGUAUGGCUGUUCGCCAUUUAAAGUGGUACGCGAGCUGGGUUUAGAACGUCGUGAGACAGUUCGGUCCCUAUCUGCCGUGGGCGCUGGAGAAUUGAGGGGGGCUGCUCCCAGUACGAGAGGACCGGAGUGGACGCAUCACUGGUGUUCGGGUUGUCAUGCCAAUGGCACUGCCCGGUAGCUAAAUGCGGAAGAGAUAAGUGCUGAAAGCAUCUAAGCACGAAACUUGCCCCGAGAUGAGUUCUCCCUGAGACUGUAAGUCUCCUGAAGGAACGUUGAAGACGACGACGUUGAUAGGCCGGGUGUGUAAGCGCAGCGAUGCGUUGAGCUAACCGGUACUAAUGAACCGUGAGGCUUAACCUUACAACGCCAAAGAAGU
rnacentral:rRNA from 1 species